rnacentral:rRNA from 1 species
AUUGAACGCUGGCGGCAUGCCUUACACAUGCAAGUCGAACGGCAACACGGGUGCUUGCACCUGGUGGCGAGUGGCGAACGGGUGAGUAAUAUAUCGGAACGUACCUUAUUGUGGGGGAUAACGCAGCGAAAGCUGUGCUAAUACCGCAUAAUCCCUAAGGGGGCAAGGGGGGGACCGUAAGGCCUCGCGCAAUUAGAGCGGCCGAUACCUGAUUAGCUAGUUGGUGAGGUAAAGGCUCACCAAGGCAACGAUCAGUAGCUGGUCUGAGAGGACGAGCAGCCACACUGGGACGGAGACACGGCCCAGACUCCUACGGGAGGCAGCAGUGGGGAGUUUUGGACAAUGGGGGCAACCCUGAUCCAGCAAUGCCGCGUGAGUGAAGAAGGCCUUCGGGUUGUAAAGCUCUUUUGUCAGGGAAGAAACACUGGCUCUAACACAGUCCGGGAAUGACGGUACCUGAAGAAUAAGCACCGGCUAACUACGUGCCAGCCGCCGCGGUAA